rnacentral:lncRNA from 1 species
GGGCAGAGAAACACGAAGGGAAUUAGUGAGCAGGCCAGAGGGAGACCAGUGCCACGGAGCUCCCAAGUGCUCCCUGCAGCUCCAGGAAGAGGCACCAUGUGAACGAAGGGCUACAUCCCUCAGAUCAAGAUGUAGAACUCUCAGCUCCUCUUCCAGCGCCAUUCGUGCCUGGAUGCCACCAUGCUUCCUGACUUGAUGAUAAUGGACUGAACCUCUGAAACUAAGACUGAGGCUAGAACUCUUGCCUAUAAUCGCUUCCUUGACACUCGAAUCCACAGGAAGGAUGUUCUUCUCCACCAGCUCCAUGGGACCAGGCCUUUGAGCAAUCUUCUCGUUCAGGUCAUCUGCCAGCCGAGCUCUCUUCAGCUUCAUCUGUGUGGCCUGAAGAGAUGGCUCUGCAAACGUUUCUGGAAGAGGAAGCAUAGCU